AGAGUUUGAUCUUGGCUCAGGACGAACGCUGGCGGCGUGCCUAACACAUGCAAGUCGAACGGAGAAUUUUAUUUCGGUAGAAUUCUUAGUGGCGAACGGGUGAGUAACGCGUAGGCAACCUGCCCUUUAGACGGGGACAACAUUCCGAAAGGAGUGCUAAUACCGGAUGUGAUCAUCGUGCCGCAUGGCAGGAUGAAGAAAGAUGGCCUCUACAAGUAAGCUAUCGCUAAAGGAUGGGCCUGCGUCUGAUUAGCUAGUUGGUAGUGUAACGGACUACCAAGGCGAUGAUCAGUAGCCGGUCUGAGAGGAUGAACGGCCACAUUGGGACUGAGACACGGCCCAAACUCCUACGGGAGGCAGCAGUGGGGAAUCUUCCGCAAUGGACGAAAGUCUGACGGAGCAACGCCGUGUGAGUGAUGAAGGAUUUCGGUCUGUAAAGCUCUGUUGUUUAUGACGAACGUGCAGUGUGUGAACAAUGCAUUGCAAUGACGGUAGUAAACGAGGAAGCCACGGCUAACUACGUGCCAGCAGCCGCGGUAAUACGUAGGUGGCGAGCGUUGUCCGGAAUUAUUGGGCGUAAAGAGCAUGUAGGCGGCUUAAUAAGUCGAGCGUGAAAAUGCGGGGCUCAACCCCGUAUGGCGCUGGAAACUGUUAGGCUUGAGUGCAGGAGAGGAAAGGGGAAUUCCCAGUGUAGCGGUGAAAUGCGUAGAUAUUGGGAGGAACACCAGUGGCGAAGGCGCCUUUCUGGACUGUGUCUGACGCUGAGAUGCGAAAGCCAGGGUAGCGAACGGGAUUAGAUACCCCGGUAGUCCUGGCCGUAAACG
rnacentral:rRNA from 1 species